GAUGAACGCUGGCGGCGUGCUUAACACAUGCAAGUCGGACGGACACAUCUUUCGGGGUGUGUUAGUGGCAGACGGGUGCGUAACACGUAGGUAACCUGCCUUUCAGUUGGGGAUAACCGAGGGAAACUUUGGCUAAUACCGAAUUCGUGCUUCGAAGGCAUCUUUGGAGCAUAAAAGGGGCCUUUAAAGCCUCGCUGAUUGAUGGACCUGCGGCGCAUUAGUUAGUUGGUGAGAUAACAGCCCACCAAGACGAGGAUGCGUAGCCGACCUGAGAGGGUGAUCGGCCACACUGGAACUGAGACACGGUCCAGACUCCUACGGGAGGCAGCAGUAGGGAGUUUUCGGCAAUGGGGGAAACCCUGACCGAGCAACGCCGCGUGAGUGAUGAAGGUCUUCGGAUUGUAAAGCUCUGUUAUAAGGGAAGAACGGCAGCUAGAGGAAAUGCUAGCUGUUUGACGGUACUUUAUGAGAAAGCCACGGCUAACUACGUG
rnacentral:rRNA from 1 species